UCUUCAUCUUCUAUUAUGACCACAAAAGAGAACUCUCCCAUUUCUAGAAAAACACGAGCUGCCCUCUGUCAAAGCUUGUAAUUGAAUCUUACAGCUCCUAUAUCCUCAAAUUCAUCAAUACCUUCACUUAAUGGUGAUCUGGGUAUGAAGUCGAGUGGAUCCUCACGACCACGAAAGAAUGGAAAACAUGGUUGGGUAUCUCUUGAUUUUGAGCAAAUCCCACUCUAUCAGAGUUAUACGAUGACAGGGUAUUAUCCUUGAACUGCAGGAGUGGGACAACCAAGCAAUGGCUUCAAAAGGGAUUGGAGAAGACAAUGACGAAGGCAAACAGAAAAGUAUUACCAGACGCUCAUUUGCAUUUGCGGAAGCAUUAAGUCAAGCCACUGAAAAGAAUGCCGCAACAUUCAUGAAUAGGGUAACACAACGAGUCCCGAAUGAAGGUGGGGCACGUCAACUUGGCCCAAGUUUCCAUAGUGAUAUACCGUCCGAUGUGGAGAAAGUUUUGAGCAAGCAUGAAGUAGAUGAUUCUAGUUACUUCAGCGAAGGAAAAGCAUGGGGAGCAUGGGGCACAAAACCUGGAAAAUGGCCUAGUGAAACGGCCAAUUGGAUUUCGUGGGUCGAACGAGUCAAGAAGCGAUUUGGGGACGUAUGGAAACGACUUGGGAUCUAUGACGCCAUCAAGCUUUCCACCAUUACUAUUUCUUGUGACCGCACCUUGCUGGCUGCCGUUAUGUGUUUUUGGAGUUCUCAAACAAACUCUCUGGAGCUUCAGUUUGGUGCACUUAGUCCGACCUUGAUUAAUAUAGCGGCCAUUAUAGGCUUGCCUCCACAUGGGCAAGUGGUGGACAUUGUAUUUGCAAAAAGAAAGUUUGACAUUGAUCUUGGUUGCGAGCUAAGAGAUCGAAGUAAGGGCAGACCAUCCGUUGCUAAUUUUAAUACAUGGAUUGAGGUGUUUAACAACGGCUUGGUGAGUAAGUCACUCGGUGGGGACGACAGCCUAGAAGAGAAAGAGGAAAGCCAACAGGAGACAAUAGAAGUGACUCGUGUAGAGCAUGCUGCGUGUCUUGCCUUUUAGAUAUGCAAGUUCUUAGUGUGCACAACUUCGAGAAAAGUGAAUGUGGAGUACUACAAGCUGGCGGAAGCAUUAGCAAGUAAAGAAGUGCAAGAGAGCGAUCAACCAUUAGCUCUUGGUCCAUUUGUGCUUGCCCACCUGUACAGAUAUCUACACCAUUGUGUGACAGAAGGAUUGAAUCCAAAUUGGUCUGGGCCAUUGUGGAUUUUUCAGUUGUGACUUCACACUUAUUUUCCUGUUUUCAGACAGCCAGGUUUAGCAUUGGCCGCAGACAGUACUCUUGGACAACAAUUGGCGUCUCUUGAUGUACUCUUUCAUUCGGCAGAAGAGUGUUUUGAGAUUUUGUUCAAGUGUCUAGAAUUUUCUGCAGAACAGUAUGCCGUUUGUUUCAGCAGGAAGUAUCCACCCUACCUUGCCGUGGAUAUCAGCCAACAUGCCUCAGAAAGCGAAACGAAAUGGGAGACUGCGUGUUUAGCUUGGAAGAGUGCAAUAGGUAUGAGGGAUCUCUUCUGGGGUGCCUUGUCUGGUAAGACACUCAAGUAUGGAGUGGAGUUAUAUUCACCAUCAUAUUUCAGUCGUCAGUUGGGAUAUUAUCAAGGUAUACCUGCUCCGGUUCCAGAAUCGUCAAACCGAUAUAGUUCAUUGCGAGCAAUUUUCUCCAACAAGGACGACAUUGAGCAGAAUAAUAAGGCAUUUCGGUACAACAUGAGCUUUGACAUGAAGACAAGAGUGGCAACUAGCAAGAAUUCGGCUCAGUUCAGAGAGUGGUGGGUGAAAUGAGUAGGGAGCCACUUUAAAGAUGGGUUGAUAGCAGCUAGGAGAUCAGCUUUUGCAGGAAAUCCAUGGGCACAAGAAAAGCCGAAAGCAGCAAAGCGUGGUAAGACAACAAGCAAAGUUGCUAAAGCAAUCCCAACUAUAAGUAAGUAGUUGCCCCCCCCCCCUACCUUGCCGUGGAUAUCAGCCAACAUGCCUCAGAAAGCGAAACGAAAUGGGAGACUGCGUGUUUAGCUUGGAAGAGUGCAAUAGGUAUGAGGGAUCUCUUCUGGGGUGCCUUGUCUGGUAAGACACUCAAGUGUGGAGUGGAGUUAUAUUCACCAUCAUAUUUCAGUCGUCAGUUGGGAUAUUAUCAAGGUAUACCUGCUCCGGUUCCAGAAUCGUCAAACCGAUAUAGUUCAUUGCGAGCAAUUUUCUCCAACAAGGACGACAUUGAGCAGAAUAAUAAGGCAUUUCGGUACAACAUGAGCUUUGACAUGAAGACAAGAGUGGCAACUAGCAAGAAUUCGGCUCAGUUCAGAGAGUGGUGGGUGAAAUGAGUAGGGAGCCACUUUAAAGAUGGGUUGAUAGCAGCUAGGAGAUCAGCUUUUGCAGGAAAUCCAUGGGCACAAGAAAAGCCGAAAGCAGCAAAGCGUGGUAAGACAACAAGCAAAGUUGCUAAAGCAAUCCCAACUAUAAGUAAGUAGUUGCCCCCCCCCCCCCUACCUUGCCGUGGAUAUCAGCCAACAUGCCUCAGAAAGCGAAACGAAAUGGGAGACUGCGUGUUUAGCUUGGAAGAGUGCAAUAGGUAUGAGGGAUCUCUUCUGGGGUGCCUUGUCUGGUAAGACACUCAAGUGUGGAGUGGAGUUAUAUUCACCAUCAUAUUUCAGUCGUCAGUUGGGAUAUUAUCAAGGUAUACCUGCUCCGGUUCCAGAAUCGUCAAACCGAUAUAGUUCAUUGCGAGCAAUUUUCUCCAACAAGGACGACAUUGAGCAGAAUAAUAAGGCAUUUCGGUACAACAUGAGCUUUGACAUGAAGACAAGAGUGGCAACUAGCAAGAAUUCGGCUCAGUUCAGAGAGUGGUGGGUGAAAUGAGUAGGGAGCCACUUUAAAGAUGGGUUGAUAGCAGCUAGGAGAUCAGCUUUUGCAGGAAAUCCAUGGGCACAAGAAAAGCCGAAAGCAGCAAAGCGUGGUAAGACAACAAGCAAAGUUGCUAAAGCAAUCCCAACUAUAAGUAAGUAGUUGCCCCCCCCCCCUACCUUGCCGUGGAUAUCAGCCAACAUGCCUCAGAAAGCGAAACGAAAUGGGAGACUGCGUGUUUAGCUUGGAAGAGUGCAAUAGGUAUGAGGGAUCUCUUCUGGGGUGCCUUGUCUGGUAAGACACUCAAGUGUGGAGUGGAGUUAUAUUCACCAUCAUAUUUCAGUCGUCAGUUGGGAUAUUAUCAAGGUAUACCUGCUCCGGUUCCAGAAUCGUCAAACCGAUAUAGUUCAUUGCGAGCAAUUUUCUCCAACAAGGACGACAUUGAGCAGAAUAAUAAGGCAUUUCGGUACAACAUGAGCUUUGACAUGAAGACAAGAGUGGCAACUAGCAAGAAUUCGGCUCAGUUCAGAGAGUGGUGGGUGAAAUGAGUAGGGAGCCACUUUAAAGAUGGGUUGAUAGCAGCUAGGAGAUCAGCUUUUGCAGGAAAUCCAUGGGCACAAGAAAAGCCGAAAGCAGCAAAGCGUGGUAAGACAACAAGCAAAGUUGCUAAAGCAAUCCCAACUAUAAGUAAGUAGUUGCCCCCCCCCCCCUACCUUGCCGUGGAUAUCAGCCAACAUGCCUCAGAAAGCGAAACGAAAUGGGAGACUGCGUGUUUAGCUUGGAAGAGUGCAAUAGGUAUGAGGGAUCUCUUCUGGGGUGCCUUGUCUGGUAAGACACUCAAGUGUGGAGUGGAGUUAUAUUCACCAUCAUAUUUCAGUCGUCAGUUGGGAUAUUAUCAAGGUAUACCUGCUCCGGUUCCAGAAUCGUCAAACCGAUAUAGUUCAUUGCGAGCAAUUUUCUCCAACAAGGACGACAUUGAGCAGAAUAAUAAGGCAUUUCGGUACAACAUGAGCUUUGACAUGAAGACAAGAGUGGCAACUAGCAAGAAUUCGGCUCAGUUCAGAGAGUGGUGGUUGAAAUGAGUAGGGAGCCACUUUAAAGAUGGGUUGAUAGCAGCUAGGAGAUCAGCUUUUGCAGGAAAUCCAUGGGCACAAGAAAAGCCGAAAGCAGCAAAGCGUGGUAAGACAACAAGCAAAGUUGCUAAAGCAAUCCCAACUAUAAGUAAGUAGUUGCCCCCCCCCCUACCUUGCCGUGGAUAUCAGCCAACAUGCCUCAGAAAGCGAAACGAAAUGGGAGACUGCGUGUUUAGCUUGGAAGAGUGCAAUAGGUAUGAGGGAUCUCUUCUGGGGUGCCUUGUCUGGUAAGACACUCAAGUGUGGAGUGGAGUUAUAUUCACCAUCAUAUUUCAGUCGUCAGUUGGGAUAUUAUCAAGGUAUACCUGCUCCGGUUCCAGAAUCGUCAAACCGAUAUAGUUCAUUGCGAGCAAUUUUCUCCAACAAGGACGACAUUGAGCAGAAUAAUAAGGCAUUUCGGUACAACAUGAGCUUUGACAUGAAGACAAGAGUGGCAACUAGCAAGAAUUCGGCUCAGUUCAGAGAGUGGUGGGUGAAAUGAGUAGGGAGCCACUUUAAAGAUGGGUUGAUAGCAGCUAGGAGAUCAGCUUUUGCAGGAAAUCCAUGGGCACAAGAAAAGCCGAAAGCAGCAAAGCGUGGUAAGACAACAAGCAAAGUUGCUAAAGCAAUCCCAACUAUAAGUAAGUAGUUGCCCCCCCCCCCCCCUACCUUGCCGUGGAUAUCAGCCAACAUGCCUCAGAAAGCGAAACGAAAUGGGAGACUGCGUGUUUAGCUUGGAAGAGUGCAAUAGGUAUGAGGGAUCUCUUCUGGGGUGCCUUGUCUGGUAAGACACUCAAGUGUGGAGUGGAGUUAUAUUCACCAUCAUAUUUCAGUCGUCAGUUGGGAUAUUAUCAAGGUAUACCUGCUCCGGUUCCAGAAUCGUCAAACCGAUAUAGUUCAUUGCGAGCAAUUUUCUCCAACAAGGACGACAUUGAGCAGAAUAAUAAGGCAUUUCGGUACAACAUGAGCUUUGACAUGAAGACAAGAGUGGCAACUAGCAAGAAUUCGGCUCAGUUCAGAGAGUGGUGGGUGAAAUGAGUAGGGAGCCACUUUAAAGAUGGGUUGAUAGCAGCUAGGAGAUCAGCUUUUGCAGGAAAUCCAUGGGCACAAGAAAAGCCGAAAGCAGCAAAGCGUGGUAAGACAACAAGCAAAGUUGCUAAAGCAAUCCCAACUAUAAGUGGCCAAGAGUCUUUGAAGAAGUGUACUAAAGGUGGCACAAAGAGAAAGGCCACCCAUAGUGCGACCACUGAGGCGGCCAAAGAUGGUGCCACCAUGUCUUCAACAUCUCAAUCUCCUCCAGCUAAAUAAUCGGAAAAACAAGACGAGGAAUCCUCUGAAAGUGAAGAAGAAUUGUGCGUGGCCAAACGAAGCCGUCCAAAGAUACUCAAGGUAUGACAAGUGGGCAAGCACAAAUGGACAAAGAGCUAACGGCUGAUCGCUCUCUUACACUUCUUUACUUGCUAAUGCUUCAGCCAACUUGUUGUACUCCACAUUCUCUUUUUUCGAAGUUGUGCACACUAAGAACUUGCAUAUCCAAAAGGCAAGAAAUGCAGCAU